rnacentral:rRNA from 2 species
UGGGAAUAUUGGACAAUGGGCGCAAGACUGAUCCAGCCAUGCCGCGUGGAUGAUGAAGGCCUUAGGGUUGUAAAGUCCUUUUAACGGGGAAGAUAAUGACGGUACCCGUAGAAUAAGCCCCGGCUAACUUCGUGCCAGCAGCCGCGGUAAUACGAAGGGGGCUAGCGUUGCUCGGAAUCACUGGGCGUAAAGCGCAAUUAGGCGGAUUCUUAAGCAGGUGGUGAAAGCAUGGAGCUCAACUCCAGAUAGGCCUUAGACGGUAUUAGUCUGGGUUUCCGCAGAGGAUAGCGGAAUACCGGGCAGAUUGGUGAAGCAUUACUCAUAUUGUCAGGAACUCCAGUGCAGAAGGAGGAUCAUGUUACCGGUAGAGUCGCAGAUGUGCGAAAGCCGGCAGGCAACCAU